AUCUGGCUCAGAACGAACGCUGGCGGCGCGUCUUAAGCAUGCAAGUCGAGCGGUAAGAUUGGUGCUGCACUAAUCCUAGAGCGGCGGACUGGUGAGUAACGCGUGGGUGACGUACCUUCGUGACGGGGACAGCUCCUAGAAAUAGGAGAUAAUACCGGAUACGCUGUAUGUUGUCAGAGGACAUACAGGAAAGGAUCUUUUGAUUCGCACGGAGAGCGGCCCGCGUACUAUUAGCUAGUUGGUGAGGUAACGGCCCACCAAGGCAACGAUAGUUACCCGGCCUAAGAGGGUGAUCGGGCACAUUGGGACUGAGAUACGGCCCAGACUCCUACGGGAGGCAGCAGCUAAGAAUAUUCCGCAAUGGACGAAAGUCUGACGGAGCGACGCCGCGUGGAUGAUUGAAGGCCGGAAGGUUGUAAAAUCCUUUUAUGACUGAGGAAUAAGGAAGUUGAGAGAAACGGCUUCUGGUGACUGUAGGUCAUGAAUAAGCAACGGCUAAUUACGUGCCAGCAGCGGC
rnacentral:rRNA from 1 species